CACCCAACCCGACAGAUUCCCCCAACUCUCUCUCGCUCAUCCACUCUCCUCCUCGCUCUGUCGUCUCCGGUCCUCCCUCCGUCUUCUUCGCGAUUCCAGUGCGAUUACCUAAUUGCGACUCAUGAACGCUUCAGGAAAUCGAAGCCAUUACCGACCUUCACUUCACUCCUUCACUCUUCAACCUUCAAAACACGAAAACCUCUCCUCCUAGAAGUUUUAUCCCCAAAAUCGAAACCCUAAACUGAGAGAAUUUGCGCCAAAAGAGUUCCGAUAUCCUCCACAAUUUUGUUCAAUCCUUCAAGCUUCAACUUCGAAACCAAGAUGAAUUAAACCCAAAUUCGAAACCCUAAAGCGGUACAACUUCCGGCCAAGGAGUUCCGAUGUCGAUGAAAAUUGAAGCCGAAACUGGGUUUAAAUCCGUCAGAAAACACGACGUUCCCACAUGUAGGGAUCGAUUCAAAGCAUUAAAAACCGUAAAAGAUAGACACAAAGAACAUCUGCCUAGAAGAUAAGUAUGCACAGAAUGACUUUUCAAGUUUUCAUGGGCCAAUCUCAAGAUGAGUACUGUGUACUGAUAUGGAGUUUGAUGAUUUCUCUUCGUAUUUAUGUAUUGUAUUAAAACAUUUAAGUUGCUGUAAAAUUAGCCUUUUUUAUAAUGUAAAUUGUUUUUUCCCGUUAGCAUUUUAUAAAUUUGUUUACAAUGAACAAAUGUCAACAUUAUUUCUUACUUUAGAUAUGGAUAUGAAAUCUUUAAGUUGUUCUAUUUAAUUCUUCUGUAAUUUUUGUCAAUGUUCUUGUGAACAAAAAUGCCUUUAGUUUGAACAAAAAAAAGUUUCUACUAUUUAUAGUUUGAAAAUUCUUUUAAGUCUAAUAUUUCUAAUAGUUGAUAAGAGAUGGAUAUUUUCUUUACUUGUAAUUUACUGAUUUUUGGGCUAAAUUCUUUUAAGUCUAACUUUCUCAUUUUUGUUGAUAAUCUCUUAAAAGGCAUUGAACUUAACAUUUGAUUUAUCCGUAAAACAUGCAUACCGCUGCUGCGGUUUGAGAAGCCACACAAAAGAAACAUACUUAAUAAAGGUUUAUAUGCUUUUAUGAAGAUAUAGAUUUCAAAGGUAAUUUUGUUGAUUUUUGGUCCUUUUUCCUAAAUUUUUGCUAUAAUAUCUUUCAAGUUUAAUUUUGUAAUUUUUGUUUAAGAUCUCUUAAAAGAAAGAGCAUUGUAGUUAACAUCUGUUUUGUCUCUCACACAUGCAUACCACUAUCUGCUUUUUGAGAAGCCACACACAAUAUACAUGAUGAAGUUUUAAAAGCUUUAUGAGGAUAUAGUUUUCAAAGGCCAUAAAAAUGGUGAUUUGCAAAACACAACUUCAGCUUCAGAAGGUAUAAUUAGCUUGAAGAUGGAGGCUGAAUGUCAGGAUAUACAAAGGGGCCAUUAUUUCAUUAUUUCAGAGAGAUUGGAAUUGGUUCUGUACGAAGAAGAAUGAGACAUGGGAUGAUGCCUGGACUGUAGUAUAAAUAGAGAAGGAUUAGGCUGAAACAUUAAUUACUCGAACCGAUUAUAUUGCACCGGUUAUUCUUCCGAUGUGGUGGCGGUGGCUGAUAUCUAGAAGAGUUCAAAUUGUAGUCUACUACUACUACUACUACUACCCGGGGUUAUCCUGAACACUUAGCUAACAGCGUUCUACUACUACUACUACUACUACUACCCGGGGUUAUCCUGAACACUUAGCUAACAGCGUUUAACCGUGUUUAUUCUUAAAUUAGGGAUACCUAAUAUGUCCCAUACGUAUGCCGUUGAAUCAUCAUGAUUUAUCCAAUCGUUAUAUGGUGGACUAUGGGCCAAUACAUCGUCAUUUCUUUUAAUUAAAAGAAGUAAUUGUUGUUAUCGUGAAUCAAUGACAUAUCACAUUAUAGAUA